rnacentral:rRNA from 1 species
AGAGUUUGAUCCUGGCUCAGGAUAAACGCUGGCGGCAUGCCUAAUACAUGCAAGUCGAACGGAUCUAAAGAAGCUUGCUUCAUUAGAUUAGUGGCGAACGGGUGAGUAACACGUAGAUAACCUAACCAUGAGAUUGGGACAACUUUUGGAAACGAAAGCUAAUACCAAAUAGGAAGAAAUUUUAAAGGUGCGUAUGCAUC